rnacentral:rRNA from 1 species
UUCCAGACUCCUACGGGAGGCAGCAGUGGGGAAUAUUGCGCAAUGGGGGCAACCCUGACGCAGCAACGCCGCGUGCAGGAAGAAGGUCUUCGGAUUGUAAACUGUUGUCGCAAGGGAAGAAGACAGUGACGGUACCUUGUGAGAAAGUCACGGCUAACUACGUGCCAGCAGCCGCGGUAAUACGUAUGGAGCAAGCGUUAUCCGGAUUUACUGGGCGUAAAGGGAGCGUAGGCGGCCUGCCAAGUCUGAUGUGAAAUACCGGGGCUCAACCCCGGGGCUGCAUUGGAAACUGGCAGGCUGGAGUGCCGGAGAGGCAGGCGGAAUUCCUAGUGUAGCGGUGAAAUGCGUAGAUAUUAGGAGGAACACCAGUGGCGAAGGCGGCCUGCUGGACGGUGACUGACGCUGAGGCUCGAAAGCGUGGGGAGCAAACAGGAUUAGAUACCCGCGUACC